rnacentral:tRNA from 1 species
GAGCAUUCGGCUGUUAACCGAAGGGUUGGAGGUUCGAGCCCUCUCCACGGAG